rnacentral:rRNA from 1 species
AACGAACGCUGGCGGCAGGCUUAACACAUGCAAGUCGAGCGCCCCGCAAGGGGAGCGGCAGACGGGUGAGUAACGCGUGGGAAUCUACCCAUCUCUACGGAAUAACGCAUGGAAACGUGUGCUAAUACCGUAUACGUCCUUCGGGAGAAAGAUUUAUCGGAGAAGGAUGAGCCCGCGUUGGAUUAGCUAGUUGGUGGGGUAAAGGCCUACCAAGGCGACGAUCCAUAGCUGGCCUGAGAGGAUGAUCAGCCACACUGGGACUGAGACACGGCCCAGACUCCUACGGGAGGCAGCAGUGGGGAAUAUUGGACAAUGGGCGCAAGCCUGAUCCAGCCAUGCCGCGUGAGUGAUGAAGGCCCUAGGGUUGUAAAGCUCUCUCACCGGUGAAGAUAAUGACGGUAACCGGAGAAGAAGCCCCGGCUAACUUCGUGCCAGCCGCCGCAGUAACAC